GCUUGCUACCGGACCUAGCGGCGGACGGGUGAGUAAUGCUUAGGAAUCUGCCUAUUAGUGGGGGACAACAUCUCGAAAGGGAUGCUAAUACCGCAUACGUCCUACGGGAGAAAGCAGGGGAUCUUCGGACCUUGCGCUAAUAGAUGAGCCUAAGUCGGAUUAGCUAGUUGGUGGGGUAAAGGCCUACCAAGGCGACGAUCUGUAGCGGGUCUGAGAGGAUGAUCCGCCACACUGGGACUGAGACACGGCCCAGACUCCUACGGGAGGCAGCAGUGGGGAAUAUUGGACAAUGGGGGGAACCCUGAUCCAGCCAUGCCGCGUGUGUGAAGAAGGCCUUAUGGUUGUAAAGCACUUUAAGCGAGGAGGAGGCUACUUUAGUUAAUACCUAGAGAUAGUGGACGUUACUCGCAGAAUAAGCACCGGCUAACUCUGUGCCAGCAGCCGCGGUAAUACAGAGGGUGCGAGCGUUAAUCGGAUUUACUGGGCGUAAAGCGUGCGUAGGCGGCUUAUUAAGUCGGAUGUGAAAUCCCCGAGCUUAACUUGGGAAUUGCAUUCGAUACUGGUGAGCUAGAGUAUGGGAGAGGAUGGUAGAAUUCCAGGUGUAGCGGUGAAAUGCGUAGAGAUCUGGAGGAAUACCGAUGGCGAAGGCAGCCAUCUGGCCUAAUACUGACGCUGAGGUACGAAAGCAUGGGGGAGCAAACAGGAUUAGAUACCCUGGUAGUCCAUGCCGUAAACGAUGUCUACUAGCCGUUGGGGGCCUUUGAAGGCUUUAGUGGCCGCACCUAACGCGGAUA
rnacentral:rRNA from 1 species